CCUACGGGCGGCAGCAGUGAGGAAUAUUGGUCAAUGGACGAGAGUCUGAACCAGCCAAGUAGCGUGAAGGAUGACUGCCCUAUGGGUUGUAAACUUCUUUUAUAUGGGAAUAAAAUGUUCCACGUGUGGGAUUUUGUAUGUACCAUAUGAAUAAGGAUCGACUAACUCCGUGCCAGCAGCCGCGGUAAUACGGAGGAUCCGAGCGUUAUCCGGAUUUAUUGGGUUUAAAGGGAGCGUAGGUGGAUUGUUAAGUCAGUUGUGAAAGUCUGCGGCUCAACCGUAGAAUUGCAGUUGAAACUGGCAGUCUUGAGUACAGUAGAGGGGGGCAGAAUUCGUGGUGUAGCGGUGAAAUGCGUAGAGAUCACGAAGAACUCCGAUUGCGAAGGCAGUUCACUGGACUGAAACUGACACUGAGGCGCGAAAGUGUGGGUAUCAAACAGGAUUAGAUACCCCAGUAGUC
rnacentral:rRNA from 1 species